rnacentral:rRNA from 1 species
UGAGGAAUAUUGGUCAAUGGGCGAGAGCCUGAACCAGCCAAGUAGCGUGCAGGAUGACGGCCCUAUGGGUUGUAAACUGCUUUUAUGUGGGGAUAAAGUGCGUGACGUGUCAUGCAUUGCAGGUACCACAUGAAUAAGGACCGGCUAAUUCCGUGCCAGCAGCCGCGGUAAUACGGAAGGUCCGGGCGUUAUCCGGAUUUAUUGGGUUUAAAGGGAGCGUAGGCUGUCUAUUAAGCGUGUUGUGAAAUUUACCGGCUCAACCGGUGGCUUGCAGCGCGAACUGGUCGACUUGAGUAUGCAGGAAGUAGGCGGAAUUCAUGGUGUAGCGGUGAAAUGCUUAGAUAUCAUGACGAACUCCGAUUGCGCAGGCAGCUUACUGUAGCGUAACUGACGCUGAUGCUCGAAAGUGCGGGUAUCAAACAGG